UAUCCGAUCCAUUUUUCUGCUUCUUUUGAUACUCGACCAUCAUAACGUUGAAUUUUUACUGUAAGCAUAUCUUGGCAUGAUUAUGGUUAAUAUUCCAUUGAUGGUUUCGUUAUUUUUGAAACUGCAUUGAUGUUCUUAUUUUCGGCUUGAUCGCCAGUUACAUCCAACUCAUAUUUUAGCGAAUUAAAUUCCAUCAACAUUUAUUUCAUAAAACUGCUAUAUAAUCAAUUAUUUAAACACAAUAAAAUUUAAAUAUCUUAACUGUCAUCUUUGCCAAAAAUAAAAAGUUAAUAUACAGGCUUACGCUUGUAUAUUGUUGCAUGGAAUAAUAAAAUAGGACUUUGGUUUUAUUUUGUUGGUUUUCUUAACUAAAGUAAUGAUUAAAAGAGACUGCCGGGGGCAUAUGUAUGCUGGUGCUAGAGGUGAAAUUCUUAGACCAUCAGCAGACAAACUACUGCGAAAGCAUUUGCCAAGAAUGUUUUCAUUAAUCAAGAACGAAAGUCAGAGGAUCGAAGACGAUCAGAUACCGUCCUAGUUCUGACCAUAAACUAUGCCAACUGACAGUUAGUAAAGAUGAAUUAUUUCUUCUUACUAGAAGUCACCGGGAAACCAAAGUCUUUGGGUUCCGGGGGAAGUAUGGUUGCAAAGCUGAAACUUAAAGGAAUUGACGGAAGGGCACCACAAGGAGUGGAGCCUGCGGCUUAAUUUGACUCAACACGGGAAAUCUCACCCGGUCCGGACACUAUGAGGAUUGACUGAUCGAUAGCUCCUUCUUGAUUUGGUGGGUGGUGGUGCAUGGCCGUUCUUAGUUGAUGGAGCGAUUUGUCAAGUUAAUUCCGAUAACGAACGAGACUCUGACUUACUAAAUAGUGAAUUUAUUUUCAAUUGUAAAUUCUCACUUCUUAGAAAAAUAAAUAGCCUUUAGCUAUAUGAAAUAGAGCAAUAACAAGUCUGUGAUAUCCUUAGAUGUCCAGGGCCGCAAGCGCGUUACAAUGGCAGUACUAACAAGUUUUCCUAACUAGAAAUAGUCGGGUAAUUUCUUGAAAAACUGUCGUGUCAGAGAUUGUGAAUUAAAAUUAUUUCACAUGAACGAGAAUUCAUAAUAAGCGAAAGUCACUAGCUUGCGCUGAUUACGUUCCUGCCCUUUGUACACACGGCCCGUCGCACCUACCGAUUGAAAGUUUUUUUUAAAAAAGUUAGUUAUAUUAUAAAUACACUCACAUUUG
rnacentral:rRNA from 1 species